rnacentral:rRNA from 1 species
GAUGAACGCUGGCGGCGUGCCUAAUACAUGCAAGUCGAGCGAACGGACGAGAAGCUUGCUUUUCUGAUGUUAGCGGCGGACGGGUGAGUAACACGUGGAUAACCUACCUAUAAGACUGGUAUAACUUCGGGACACCGGCGCUAAUACCGGAGAAUCUUUUGAACCGCAUUGUUCAAAAGUGAAAGACGGUGUUGCUGUCACUUAUCGCUGCAUCCGGGCUGCAUUAGCUAGUUGGUAAGGUAACGGCUUACCAAGGCAACGAUGCAUAGCCGACCUGAGAGGGGGGUCGGCCACACGGGAAGUUAGACACGGUCCUGACUCCUACGGGAGGCAGCAGUAGGGAAUCUUCCGCAAUGGGCGAAAGCCUGACGGAGCAACGCCGCGUGAGUGAUGAAGGUCUUCGGAUCGUAAAACUCUGUUAUUAGUGAUGAACAUAUGUGUAAGUAACUGUGCACAUCUUGACGGUACCUAAUCAGAAAGCCACGGCUAACUACGUG